GCAGUAGCCACGGGAAUACGAAGGGUGCAAGCGUUACUCGGAAUUACUGGGCGUAAAGCGUGCGUAGGUGGUGGUUUAAGUCCGUUGUGAAAGCCCUGGGCUCAACCUGGGAAUUGCAGUGGAUACUGGGUCACUAGAGUGUGGUAGAGGAUAGUGGAAUUUCCGGUGUAGCAGUGAAAUGCGUAGAGAUCGGAAGGAACAUCUGUGGCGAAGGCGACUAUCUGGGCCAACACUGACACUGAGGCACGAAAGCGUGGGGAGCAAACAGGAUUAGAUACCCCCGUAGUCCCUGUCUCUUAUAC
rnacentral:rRNA from 1 species